CUGGAAGUGGGGGCCCAUCCUCUUUAUUUAACCUGUCACUGGUCCUCACGCAAAGUUUCCUUCUAAAACUGUCCAAAAGCUGGAUUCCAGAGCAGACGAGUAAACCUGACAAUAAUUGGGUUAAAAAAUGUUGGCUUGUCUGUUUCUUUAAUUAUUAUUACAUUUCCUGGACUGAUUAUUUGGAACACUGCCAUUAUGUCAGUUGUGA